rnacentral:rRNA from 1 species
GACGAACGCUGGCGGCGUGCUUAACACAUGCAAGUCGAACGGAAAGGCCCCGCUUUUGUGGGGUGCUCGAGUGGCGAACGGGUGAGUAACACGUGAGUAACUUGCCUUCGACCUUGUGCUAACUUCAGGCAACUGGGGCUAACACCGGCUAGGAGCUCCUGCUCUAUGGUGGGGGUUGGAUAGUUUCGGCGGUUGGGGCUGGACUCGUGGCUUAUCAGUGUGUCGGUUGGGUGGUGGCUUACGAAGGCUUUGACGGGUUGCCGGCCUGAGAGGGUGACCGGCCACGUUGGGACUGAGAUGCGGCCCAGACGCGUACGGGAGGCAGCAGUGGGGAAUAGUGCGCAGUAGGCGGGAGCCGGAUGCAGCAACGCCGCGUGCGGGAUGACGGCCUUCGGGUUGUGAACCGCUUUCGCCUGUGACGAAGCGUGAGUGACGGUAAUGGGUAAAGAAGCACCGGCUAACUACGUG